AAACAAAGCUAGCUAUCUCCAUUGCAAACUGGAAGGCUACUAAGCAGCCAUGAAAAACUCUGUGAAGAAUAUAUACGAACAAUGUCUAUAAUAAAAGGACAAGAAAUAAGUUGCUUACACUGCGACAAGUAUCUCUUUCAGUCAUGACCGGUGGAUGUCAACUGGAAAUCGUACAAGAGUAUUGAGGAUUUCGUGACUGAAUCUUCCCACUCAAUUCGCUUCCUCUUGUUUUCUGGAUCCUGUCUUUUUGCCACUCCUCUCCAUUUGCUGUUGUAUUUCCCUUCCAUCCAGACAACUCCUACCUCUGAAUAUGAGAUCGAUCGAACUUGAGCAAUCCAUGGCUUGAUGUUACUGCUUGGACAGCUUCUGACUGCCAGCAACUGAUCAUUCUUGAGACCUGCUAAAUCCUGCACCUCCCUAACGUCUGUCCGUGAUUGCUUUCGGUGGCUUAGAUUCCACUCAUCCACUGGGAUUUAUCCCAUCAAUUGGAUGUGUGGUAGUGGGACACUACUCACUCAGUGGAAAGCUGGAGGAGGACCACUUUAACUUCGUUGAGGAAGGGCGGUCCAAUUUCUUCCCCUGUAUUGAUCAAUCCACUGCUAAGAUUCCGAUUUGUGUGCUGACAGCCAUUAUAAAGAAGCUGUCUUUUGAAGGGAGCACUGUUAUUGAUGCCACAAGUGAAUCUGGUAACUGUGCAAUCGCCUCACUACAAGCAGGAAGAGAUGUGGUGGUACUCAAGGCAUUGGCCCAAUUAAGCAGCACUUGCAAGAAGCCAGCUUGUAGAACUGUCAACAACAUAGCUAGCUAUGGACUAGACUAUAGACUAUACUGUUUCAAGCGUUCCAUUAACUUCUAUAUAUUACUUUGUAUAUGCCGAGUAUAUACGACUUGAUCUUCAUCUUAUUGAAUGUUCAUCUGAUUAAGCAAGUCAAUGGGUAUCAAUAGAAAAUAAAUGGUGUUCUCUAAUCUUUGAGAA